AUCUUUUGUGACUACAUAGAGAAAUGAUCGAUCACUUAUUCUGUAAUUAUGUUGGUGCUCAGCGGGUAUGGAAUUACAUCAACCUUACAGAAAAUUUAAACAUUUGCUGGGCUGAGGGUUUCUCUUCUGGUGCUUAGAUUGUUGAGCAUCGGCAUUCUAAAUUUUGUCUUGCUAUUAUUGAUACUGGUGCUUGGUUUAUCUGGACUAGUCGAUGUAACGCUAUAUUUAGAAAUUGUCGUCCUAACUUCUCUGUCAUUGCCAGCAGAGCUAUUGCUCACGUUAAAGAGUUCUCCCACAGCUUGAGCGAUCCCAUUGGCAAAAGGAUUCUAUUGAACAAUUUCACCUGCGCUGAUGGGCAUUUCAUCUUCACUCAUGUUGCGCGUCGCAGAACAUGGAUAUCAAUUCUUCCGAUUGUCUGCUCGCCAUUGAAGUUGCUCUCCAAACAGCUCUGGAUUCUCGACUGCUCGUUCGGCACAUAUUCAUUGAUUAAUCAACACUACUGAACUUCUUGAGAACCCUAACCAUUACCUGUCUUGGCCCUUCUCUGAUCAGAUCUCUAAUUCAAACUUUCUGUUGGAUAUGCUAAACUGCACGAAAAUCCAUCUGAUCCCUUCUGUCUUGAUGCAACCGGCCAUUAACCUCGCUGCUCUUGGAUUUCGGCAUCGUCAUCUUAAUUUGUUUCUCUCUGGCAGGGAUGUGCCCCAUUGGAUCAUGAGAUCCUCCCAUCUAAACGGUUUUACUUUUUAAUAGUUGUUUUUUAUUCAGCCCAUUCUGUUUCAGUUUGAAGUAGUGGUUUUUAUUUUGUUUUAAUAAAAUUAGCUUCUCUUUUUUGAGAAGUUCUUUAAAAAAAAAACCCCUUCAAACCAUGCCCUGAGUCUACUGACUCUGCAUCUCCAUGCCAUCAGCCAGUUGCCCAUCUUCAAUCACAUCCUCUACAGAAGCAACUAACGGAGAUAAGAUUGACAGAGGAAAAAAAAAAA